UGAUCUUGUGGUUGCAGUGUGGAUGAAA
rnacentral:piRNA from 1 species